GACGAACGCCGGCGGCGUGCUUAACACAUGCAAGUCGAACGGAAAGGCCCUGCUUUUGUGGGGUGCUCGAGUGGCGAACGGGUGAGUAACACGUGAGUAACCUGCCCUUGACUUUGGGAUAACUUCAGGAAACUGGGGCUAAUACCGGAUAGGAGCUCCUGCUGCAUGGUGGGGGUUGGAAAGUUUCGGCGGUUGGGGAUGGACUCGCGGCUUAUCAGCUUGUUGGUGGGUAGUGGCUUACCAAGGCUUUGACGGGUAGCCGGCCUGAGAGGGUGACCGGCCACAUUGGGACUGAGAUACGGCCCAGACUCCUACGGGAGGCAGCAGUGGGGAAUAUUGCACAAUGGGCGGAAGCCUGAUGCAGCAACGCCGCGUGCGGGAUGACGGCCUUCGGGUUGUAAACCGCUUUCGCCUGUGACGAAGCGUGAGUGACGGUAAUGGGUAAAGAAGCACCGGCUAACUACGUG
rnacentral:rRNA from 1 species